rnacentral:rRNA from 1 species
UACGUAGGGUGCGAGCGUUGUCCGGAAUUAUUGGGCGUAAAGAGCUCGUAGGCGGUUUGUCGCGUCGACUGUGAAAACUGGGGGCUUAACUCUCAGCUUGCUUCCGAUACGGGCAGACUAGAGGUAUGCAGGGGAGAACGGAAUUCCUGGUGUAGCGGUGAAAUGCGCAGAUAUCAGGAGGAACACCGGUGGCGAAGGCGGUUCUCUGGGCAUGAUCUGACGCUGAGGAGCGAAAGUGUGGGGAGCGAACAGG